CUGGCUCCUCAGCUGACUCCACUCAGGUAAUCAACUACCUGCACGGCUCCCGGACAGCUGAUGAUCAUUCACUAACGACUCACCUCUGCAAUAAAGACCGGCUCAGCCUUCCACUCCCUGCCAGAGCGUUAAACAAGAACCACGCAUUCAGCUGUCCGGGAUCCCACGCCAUUCUCCUUCCCCUCCGGCUCUCCCCGACAAACCUUCACCAGUUUCUCCUGCCUGGACCCCCACUCCUGCCUGGACCCCCACUCCUGCCUGGACCCCCACUCCUGCCUGGACCCCCACUCCUGCCUGGAACCCCCCGCUCCUACACCCUGGUUUUCCCCCACCUAGCCACCAUUUUCACCCCCUACAAUAAACCACUUGCAUUCA